rnacentral:rRNA from 1 species
UACGGGGGGAGCAAGCGUUGUUCGGAUUUACUGGGCGUAAAGGGCGCGUAGGCGGUAGCACAAGUCAGUUGUGAAAUCUCCGGGCUUAACUCGGAACGGUCAAGUGAUACUGUCGGACUAGAGUGCAGAAGGGGCAACUGGAAUUCUCGGUGUAGCGGUGAAAUGCGUAGAUAUCGAGAGGAACACCUGCGGCGAAGGCGGGUUGCUGGGCUGACACUGACGCUGAGGCGCGAAAGCCAGGGGAGCGAACGGG